CUCUUUGCAGCUUCCAGGAGUCAGAGGAUGCUUUGAUGGACUCUUUUGAGGAACAACUAAUAGCUGAAUUUGACAGUAUUCACCAGGAACAACAUGGCUUCCUUCGCAGCAUCACUCAAGCAUCUGUUCAGAGGAAAGCAUGAGAUUUGAAGAAAUGUAGCAUUGCAUCACUUGCUCACCAAUGGAUCCUCUGCAGUGAAUGGGUGCCAUCAGAAUGAGAGUCCAAACAGCUGAUAAAAACAUCACAAUAAUCCCCAAGUAAUCCACACCACUCCAGUCCAUCACUUAACAUUUUAGGAAGACAAAAGCUAUGUGUUUGAAAGAAAUAAAUCCAUCAUUAAGAUAUUUUUAACUAAAAUACAA